rnacentral:rRNA from 1 species
AUGAACGCUGUCUACAGGCUUAACACAUGCCAGUCGAGGGGAAACGACGGGGAAGCUUGCUUCCCCGGGCGUCGACCGGCGCACGGGUGAGUAACGCGUAUCCAACCUGCCUCUGACUGAGGGAUAACCCGUCGAAAGUCGGCCUAAUACCUCAUGGCAUCGUCUGCGGGCAUCCAACGACGAUUAAAGAUUUCAUCGGUCAGGGAUGGGGAUGCGUCUGAUUAGCUUGUUGGCGGGGUAACGGCCCACCAAGGCUACGAUCAGUAGGGGUUCUGAGAGGAAGGUCCCCCACAUUGGAACUGAGGCACGGUCCAAACUCCUACGGGAGGCAGCAGUGAGGAAUAUUGGUCAAUGAGCGGGAGCCUGAACCAGCCAAGUAGCGUGCAGGAUGACGGCCCUAUGGGUUGUAAACUGCUUUUAUGCGGGGAUAAAGUGAGGGACGUGUCCUUCAUUGCAGGUACCGCAUGAAUAAGGACCGGCUAAUUCCGUG